rnacentral:rRNA from 1 species
UACAGAGGGUGCGAGCGUUAAUCGGAAUUACUGGGCGUAAAGCGCGCGUAGGCGGCUUUGCAAGUCGGGUGUGAAAUCCCCAGGCUUAACCUGGGAACUGCACUCGAGACUGCAUUGCUAGAGUAUGGGAGAGGGAAGUGGAAUUUCCGGUGUAGCGGUGAAAUGCGUAGAUAUCGUAAGGAAGACCAGUGGCGAAGGCGAGUCUCUGGACAGUUACUGACACUGAGGCACGAAGGCCAGGGGAGCGAACGGG